UACAGAGGUCUCAAGCGUUGUUCGGAUUCAUUGGGCGUAAAGGGUGCGUAGGUGGCGGGGUAAGUCGGAUGUGAAAUCUCAGGGCUCAACCCUGAAACUGCAUUCGAUACUGCCUUGCUCGAGGACUGGAGAGGAGAUUGGAAUUCACGGUGUAGCAGUGAAAUGCGUAGAUAUCGUGAGGAAGACCAGUGGCGAAGGCGGAUCUCUGGACAGUUCCUGACACUGAGCACGAAGGCCAGGGGAGCAAACGGG
rnacentral:rRNA from 1 species